GACGAACGCUGGCGGCGUGCUUAACACAUGCAAGUCGAACGGUGAAGCGAGUGCUUGCACUCGUGGAUCAGUGGCGAACGGGUGAGUAACACGUGAGUAACCUGCCCAUCACUCUGGGAUAAGCACUGGAAACGGUGUCUAAUACUGGAUACGACCAACCCUUGCAUGGGGUGUUGGUGGAAAGAUUUAUCGGUGAUGGAUGGACUCGCGGCCUAUCAGCUUGUUGGCGGGGUAAUGGCCCACCAAGGCGACGACGGGUAGCCGGCCUGAGAGGGUGACCGGCCACACUGGGACUGAGACACGGCCCAGACUCCUACGGGAGGCAGCAGUGGGGAAUAUUGCACAAUGGGCGAAAGCCUGAUGCAGCGACGCCGCGUGAGGGAUGACGGCCUUCGGGUUGUAAACCUCUUUCAGCAGGGAAGAAGCGAAAGUGACGGUACCUGCAGAAGAAGCACCGGCUAACUACGCG
rnacentral:rRNA from 1 species